rnacentral:pre_miRNA from 1 species
AACAUACUUGCUCCGUUCCGAAUUAUUUGUCGCAGGUAUGGAUGUAUCUAGAUGUAUUUUAGUUCUAGAAACAUUUCUGCGACAAGUAAUUUGGAACGGAGGGAGUAUAUG